GAGACCGAACCAACUUUCAUACGUUCAGGCUAUUCUUUCCUAUCCUAUCCAUCAAUCAAUCUUUCCAUCGACUUUCUUUUUCCAAUUAUAACCAGUCACUCCCAUUACUACUGCAGUGACUACCAAUCCUGUAACUUAUUUUACAACCAUGAUUACUUUAAGACAAGUUAGCAAGUACACACAUUUUCUUUAGGAAAUGUAAUUUUCCAUGUAUUAUUAUUUUCUCUUAGAUUCGGCACAGUGGGAGUUUUUGUUAAACUGAUAUUCAACGUCAAAACACCAGUCCCCACUGAGGAUCAUGUCCUUGAUGCCGUCAAGAAGCAAUUGUCUCCUCAAUUCACGACCACUCAAACCACCUUCCAGAAUGCAACUUAUAUCAAACUUACAGAUACUUCAUUUGCCAUCGACCUUGGUUUCAAAAUAACCAAUGUAACCCAGGAGUCUCUAAGUAAUAGACUCACACUCACCAAUGAGACUGAAACCCAGAUACAGGAUUCAAUUAACAGACUAGUAAGAUACUGUACUUCUACACAUAAGAUACAUCCAUGGUCAUGUUCAGGUCAUGAUAGUAAUUGACAACUUGAUGUUUUGUCCCCUUUUAGCUCCAAAAGGUUCUCAGUGAACCAGAUGGCAAACAGUUUCAAUUUCCGAAAGCCAACCUCAUGUAAGUACAACGUCAUAACCUUGAACCAACCCGUCUUUCUCAACUGCACUCUUUAGAAUUUCUGCAGAUUUCAUUUAGUUGCUGCUGGUACAGCUAAACAGGAUGAAAGGAACAUGUUUAACUCUCACACAAAACCCAUUUUUACGUCCACAGUGAUGAUGGCACUGAGAUCACGGCAAACGUGACGUAUGUAUACAAAGAGGAAGAUGUCAACCUCCCUAGUGGUUUUCUACAGGAAGUCUUAAAAGUCUCAGGUAUGCUGCUUUUGUUACCAUACGGUUGUCAUUUCUAUGUUUAUUUAUGACAGUGAGUUAUUAAACACCAUGUAACGUGUAUAAUACUCAAUCUCGAAAACACUUAUAUAUCAAUGUUAUAUGACAUAUUACAAGUUUAUAAUCCCUCUAAAAUGUAUUUCCAUUUCUAUUCUAGGUCUCCUGACCACCACUGUUGCCCCAACAACAACCACCAACACCACACCACUUCCUACCCUUUUGACUUCAGUGACAUCAACAACUAGGUAAGCAAGAUCAUUUAUUAUAAUGUUUUCAUACAAUUCAAUUAACACUUUGUCAAACAAGGAACCUUUGCAACAAUGAACCAUGUAUAUCCAUGCUUGUGUCGUUAACUACUGAUGUUUUAAUUAAAAGCAUCCAAAAUGUCAACCUUUCUUUAGAAAAGCUCUUUGAGUGCAUCAAUUGGUCAAAAGGCUUAAUAUAAAUCCAAUCCAUUAUAAUUAAUGUGCUUGCUGAAGGCAAGACCACUAGAUUUCUUACA
rnacentral:lncRNA from 1 species